UGGGGAAUUUUGCACAAUGGGGGAAACCCUGAUGCAGCGACGCCGCGUGAUUUAGAAGGCCUUCGGGUUGUAAAAAUCUUUUCUAUGGGAAGAAAAUGACAGUACCAUAGGAAUAAGGACCGGCUAAUUACGUGCCAGCAGCCGCGGUAAUACGUAAGGUCCGAGCGUUGUCCGGAAUCAUUGGGCGUAAAGGGUACGUAGGCGGGUAAGCAAGUUAGAAGUGAAAUCCUAUAGCUCAACUAUAGUAAGCUUUUAAAACUGCUCAUCUUGAGGUAUGGAAGGGAAAGUGGAAUUCCUAGUGUAGCGGUGAAAUGCGCAGAUAUUAGGAGGAAUACCGGUGUCGAAGGCGACUUUCUGGCCAUAACCUGACGCUGAGGUACGAAAGCGUGUGUAGCAAACAGG
rnacentral:rRNA from 1 species